GACAGGAGGCGUCUGGGAAAGAACAGAACAGGCGGCGACUGGGAGAGCAGAACCGGCGGCGACAGCAAAGAACAGAGAAGAAGAGACGGAGAUCGGAGAAUUAGAGGCUAGGGUUUCUCACUGCUUAGUUUAGUGGUUUGCAAUUUACUCUCUUCUGUUUUUACCUUUUUACCCCUAACCCACACGUCGUUUUCAAUUAAAAACAUUAAAAACUGAGAACCACUAGUGUUUUUCUAGUAGGGGUUUAAAAUCCACCAACUGUUUUUUGAAUUAUUGCCAUUUUUUAAAAGAUAAUAUUAGAAAUAACAAAUGAAAUUACAAGCUUUUAAACGGUAAAAAUUUAAAUAAAAAUUUGAUGAAAUAAAUUAACAAAAUAAUUAAACCAAUUUUAUAUUUUAAUAGUCGAAUAAUAAAGAAUUUGGAAUUAUGUAUAAAAAUCGUAUACUCAAAUCUCAUUAUACGAUGUGUACCUAAAACAGAAAAUUUUGAGGGGAAAAUACACAUAUAUACAAGUGACACCUUUUCACAAGCUUAUCAUGAUACCAACAUACAAGAACAAUAUACAUUUUAUCGGCGGAAAUACACGUAUACUUUCUCUGAGGCCUUUGCAGCAAUCAGAUGGUAAAACACUAUUUUACAAUGUAGACUCGCACGUUUUUACAAGGUCUAU